rnacentral:lncRNA from 1 species
ACUCUUGAGAAUAUGCGUCAUCAUCUUAUUAAUUUCUUGGACGAUUCAUGGACACAUAAGAACAUGAAUGAAAAGAAUUCCCAACUUAAUAAAUUCAUAAUAAGGUCAAGUACAAAUUUAUGUCCCAGAAUAAAAUAAUGCAUCAGCCAAAUUGGCUUCUAGGGCAUACUUCUAACAAUCUCCCACUUGCACUAAAGCCAAUCAGCCAUAAACCU